rnacentral:rRNA from 1 species
AUGAAUGAUUCUUCUUGGAAAGUAGAUACUGGGCACAAGUCUGGAUAUCUGACCUACAUUGAGAAGGAAAUGGCUAAAGUGCUGCCACAUGCUGAUCUUAAAGCAGAUCCACAUAUCAGGUCUAAAGUUAAGAUUUUGAAGAAGCAACUUCCGUAUGUUCUGGAAAUUAUGCAAAAUGGUAGUGGGUUUGGAUGGGAUGAUGAGAAGAAUAUGGUAACUGGAGAUAGGGAGACAUAUAUGGGCUGGUCAAAGGAAAUUGUAGAAGAUGGAUCAACAGUAGAUGCACAACCUACUAGCAAACCAGCCAAGGAGAAUAUUCCUGAAUUAAAUGAGGAUACAAGCCCAUCCGGUGGUUCUAGGCAUGGUCGUAAGAGAACAUACCCUGAUGAUGAUGCACUUGAGUCAGGUCUUGCAAGUGUGUCGAAUACAAUUGCAAAGUUUUUGGAAGCUGAGCAGGAGAAUGCUAAAACCAUGAAUGGUUUACAGAGGGCAUUUAUGCAUGAAUCGCAAGUUCAUGAGCAAACAUCGGCCAAUAGAACCAAGUUACUUGAUAUUCUCCAGAAUCUUAAGGGUCUCACAACCGAAGAGGUUGUAAUGGCUAUCCGUGUCAUUGGUGGUGAUGCUGGAAAGGCAAAACUUUUCAUCAAUUUGCGUGAUGAUUACAAAGUGGUGUUUGUUCGUCAGGAGCUCGACGCGGCCAAAAAAUAA